UUGGGGUUCUAUGAUAUGCCGAAUCUAACCAUGUAUUUAGAUUUUGGAUAUUGGACCAUAAUAGGUAAAUGUCCAAUUUAAAAUUUUUAAGUUUUUAAGUAAGUUCUUAGACCACAUUCAUUCUGUGUCAGAAACCUAUGUUGUGUCAACUAUUAAAUCACAAUCCAAAUUCAGAGCUGUAUCAAGCUUAAAUGUUGUGUCCAUACUUGCCCCAACUGUUCAGGGUU
rnacentral:lncRNA from 1 species